rnacentral:rRNA from 1 species
AACGAACGCUGGCGGCAGGCUUAACACAUGCAAGUCGAACGGGUGUAGCAAUACAUCAGUGGCAGACGGGUGAGUAACACGUGGGAACCUUCCUAGGGGUACGGAACAACUCAGGGAAACUUGAGCUAAUACCGUAUACGUCCGUGAGGAGAAAGAUUGAUCGCCCUUAGACGGGCCCGCGUCGGAUGAGCUAGUUGGUGGGGUAACGGCCUACCAAGGCGACGAUCCGUAGCUGAUCUUAGAGGAUGAUCAGCCACACUGGGACUGAGACACGGCCCAGACUCCUACGGGAGGCAGCAGUGGGGAAUCUUGGACAAUGGGCGCAAGCCUGAUCCAGCCAUGCCGCGUGAGUGAAGAAGGUCUUCGGAUUGUAAAGCUCUUUUGCCAGGGACGAUAAUGACGGUACCUGGAGAAUAAGCCCCGGCAAACUUCGUGCCAGCCGCCGCCGUAA